CUAAUCUCAGACUGUGUCCGGGGCAUACCUGCUGAGGAGACCACCGUGACAGGAUCUUUAGUAGAAUGCGGUAUAAAAGCGGUUGCCAGUUUGGUUAAAUGUCUGAUUACCGGAAAAGAAUCCUCGUGGCUUUCAAACGGUUUUAAUGCUCCUGAAACUUCCGACAGAGAUAUUGCUGGUAAAAUCGGCGAAUGCUUUAAAGAUGCUGCAUCGACAUUCUUGUCCUGUGUGAUGACUGGAUACUCUGAAGAUGGCAUAGCUGAUAAAAAGAUUGUGGCUUAGACUGCACGAACAUACGUCAACAGUAUAUGACAUCAUAUAUUACGAGGCAAAUAGAAGUGUUAACUGCUGUAUUUUUUAUCAAUAAAGAGUAUCUAUUAUU